UCCCUGGUGGUCUACCGGCUAAGAAUCCUGCGUUCUCCCUGGUGUGGGCUGGGUUCGAUUCCCAGCCAGGGAA
rnacentral:tRNA from 1 species